AUUGAACGCUGGCGGCAGGCCUAACACAUGCAAGUCGAGCGGAUGAGGGGAGCUUGCUCCUGGAUUCAGCGGCGGACGGGUGAGUAAUGCCUAGGAAUCUGCCUGGUAGUGGGGGAUAACGUCCGGAAACGGGCGCUAAUACCGCAUACGUCCUGAGGGAGAAAGUGGGGGAUCUUCGGACCUCACGCUAUCAGAUGAGCCUAGGUCGGAUUAGCUAGUUGGUGGGGUAAAGGCCUACCAAGGCGACGAUCCGUAACUGGUCUGAGAGGAUGAUCAGUCACACUGGAACUGAGACACGGUCCAGACUCCUACGGGAGGCAGCAGUGGGGAAUAUUGGACAAUGGGCGAAAGCCUGAUCCAGCCAUGCCGCGUGUGUGAAGAAGGUCUUCGGAUUGUAAAGCACUUUAAGUUGGGAGGAAGGGCAGUAAGUUAAUACCUUGCUGUUUUGACGUUACCAACAGAAUAAGCACCGGCUAACUUCGU
rnacentral:rRNA from 1 species